UACGUAGGGUGCGAGCGUUGUCCGGAUUUAUUGGGCGUAAAGAGCUCGUAGGCGGUCUGUCGCGUCGGCUGUGAAAACUCGGGGCUCAACUCCGAGCUUGCAGUCGAUACGGGCAGGCUAGAGUUCGGCAGGGGAGACUGGAAUUCCUGGUGUAGCGGUGAAAUGCGCAGAUAUCAGGAGGAACACCGGUGGCGAAGGCGGGUCUCUGGUCCGAUACUGACGCUGAGGAGCGAAAGCGUGGGGAGCGAACAGG
rnacentral:rRNA from 1 species